rnacentral:rRNA from 1 species
UUGACGAACGCUGGCGGCGUGCUUAACACAUGCAAGUCGAACGGAAAGGCCCUGCUUUUGUGGGGUGCUCGAGUGGCGAACGGGUGAGUAACACGUGAGUAACCUGCCCUUGACUUUGGGAUAACUUCAGGAAACUGGGGCUAAUACCGGAUAGGAGCUCCUGCUGCAUGGUGGGGGUUGGAAAGUUUCGGCGGUUGGGGAUGGACUCGCGGCUUAUCAGCUUGUUGGUGGGGUAGUGGCUUACCAAGGCUUUGACGGGUAGCCGGCCUGAGAGGGUGACCGGCCACAUUGGGACUGAGAUACGGCCCAGACUCCUACGGGAGGCAGCAGUGGGGAAUAUUGCACAAUGGGCGGAAGCCUGAUGCAGCAACGCCGCGUGCGGGAUGACGGCCUUCGGGUUGUAAACCGCUUUCGCCUGUGACGAAGCGUGAGUGACGGUAAUGGGUAAAGAAGCACCGGCUAACUACGUGCCAGCAGCCGCGGUGAUACGUAGGGUGCGAGCGUUGUCCGGAUUUAUUGGGCGUAAAGGGCUCGUAGGUGGUUGAUCGCGUCGGAAGUGUAAUCUUGGGGCUUAACCCUGAGCGUGCUUUCGAUACGGGUUGACUUGAGGAAGGUAGGGGAGAAUGGAAUUCCUGGUGGAGCGGUGGAAUGCGCAGAUAUCAGGAGGAACACCAGUGGCGAAGGCGGUUCUCUGGGCCUUUCCUGACGCUGAGGAGCGAAAGCGUGGGGAGCGAACAGGCUUAGAUACCCUGGUAGUCCACGCUGUAAACGGUGGGUACUAGGUGUGGGGUCCAUUCCACGGGUUCCGUGCCGUAGCUAACGCUUUAAGUACCCCGCCUGGGGAGUACGGCCGCAAGGCUAAAACUCAAAGGAAUUGACGGGGCCCCGCACAAGCGGCGGAGCAUGCGGAUUAAUUCGAUGCAACGCGUAGAACCUUACCUGGGUUUGACAUGGAUCGGGAGUGCUCAGAGAUGGGUGUGCCUCUUUUGGGGUCGGUUCACAGGUGGUGCAUGCCUGUCGUCAGCUCGUGUCGUGAGAUGUUGGGUUAAGUCCCGCAACGAGCGCAACCCUUGUUCACUGUUGCCAGCACGUUAUGGUGGGGACUCAGUGGAGACCGCCGGGGUCAACUCGGAGGAAGGUGGGGAUGACGUCAAGUCCUCAUGCCCCUUAUGUCCAGGGCUUCACGCAUGCUACAAUGGCUGGUACAGAGAGUGGCGAGCCUGUGAGGGUGAGCGAAUCUCGGAAAGCCGGUCUCAGUUCGGAUUGGGGUCUGCAACUCGACCUCAUGAAGUCGGAGUCGCUAGUAAUCGCAGAUCAGCAACGCUGCGGUGAAUACGUUCCCGGGGCUUGUACACACCGCCCGUCAAGUCAUGAAAGUUGGUAACACCCGAAGCCGGUGGCCUAACCGUUGUGGGGGAGCCGUCGAAGGUGGGACUGGU